rnacentral:misc_RNA from 1 species
GCGUAAACAAAAUCUUCUCGUGCAUUUGAGGUCAAGUGUUCAAAAGGUGGAUGUUGCGGAGCAGGUCAAAAGCCCGGAGGGGGUUCGGGGCGUAAACGACUAUCAACGCCACGAGGACCCGAGGGGGGAGGGCCUACUGAUGCAUUUGAGGAGAGCGGAAAGCCUGAGCAGACCGCAGCACUCCCAAAGUCCAAGCUCCCCGCAACGGCAAGGUUGAGGGGGCUUGAGGAUUCAAUGACACUCAAACAGGCAUGUUCUUUGGAAUGGCCAAAAAGCGCAAGGGGCGUUCAAAAAUUCAAUGAUUCACUGAAUUCUGCAAUUCACAUUACUUAUCGCAUUUCGCUGCGUUCUUCAUCGAUGCGAGAGCCAAAAAAUCCGUUGUUGAAAGUUGUAUUUGUAUAUGUUUUUGUGUUAUACACGGCAUACAUGCGAUCGGGGGGUGUACAAAAAAAUCGUAGGCCCCGGGGUCGACGGCCUACAUGGAGUGCACAAGGGAGGGUAAGCGAAUUGAAGUCGCGCCCGGGGGCGUGCACGUGCUCCCAGAAGCCAGCAUCACCCCCCCGGGGCGCUUUGUUUCAAAUUCUUUAAUGAUCCUUCCCCAGGUUCACCUCCGGAAACCUUGUUACAACAUUUACUUCCAAA